ensembl:lncRNA ASMER1 adipocyte associated metabolic related lncRNA 1
GUAUUAGGCCAGAAAGGUUUCCAUGUUUCAGUUGAAAAUAAGAUGUGAUGUGAUUCAGAGGGAACAGAGUAAACAACUUAAGCAACUGGAGAUGUGGAUAUCAAACCAUCUUAAUUUUUGCUGUGCUUAUCCAGCUGAUGGGACCAGCCUCUCCUACUGACUUUGGAAGCAGCUUUGGAGCUCCAAGUUGAACAACUAUCCACACAGAAAACCACCCUCAUAAGAACCAAAAAUCAGCGUCUUGCUCUGUCCCCAGGCUGGCGUGCAGUGGCACGAUCUCGGCUCACUGCAAGCUCCGCCUCCCAAGCUCAAGUGAUUCUCCAGCCUCGGCCUCCUGAGUAGCUGGGAUUACAGACUCCUGCCCCUGCCACGAGAACACACCCUUUCCAGUUUGCUGGAGAAAUAUAAGAGAAGUCCAGUGAAAGAGAGCUGAGUUUCCCCAAUGAUGCCAUCAAGAUGAACUAACUACAGUUAACCAGCCAGCUGAUAGCAGAUGCAUGAGUGAGCCCAGCUGAGAGCAGGUGAAACUGAAAUUGGCUGUAUCAUCUGAAACUUCAUCUGUGAAGUCCCUGGUGGUUUCCUAGAUGACUACACAGUUGAGUUGCCUCUGAUUGGAAAAGCAGUGUUUUGGUUUUUCAGUUUGUACAAGAGGAAGAAGACGCAUGAUAUGUGUUUGGCUCAUGUGCCUGAAUAUGGCUCCACAGGGAAGACU